ensembl:snRNA U6 U6 spliceosomal RNA
GUGCUGGCUUCGGCAGCACAUAUAUUACAAUUUGAACAAUACAGAGAAGAUUAGCAUGGCCUCUGUGCAAGGAUGACUUGCAAAUUCAUGAAGCGUUCUAUAUUAAA